GAUGAAGAACGUAGCGAAAUGCGAUACGUAAUGUGAAUUGCAAUUUCAGUGAAUCAUCGAGUCUUUGAACGCACAUUGCGCCCCCUGGUAUUCCGGGGGGCAUGCCUGUCCGAGCGUCAUUGCUGCCCUCAAGCACGGCUUGUGUGUUGGGCCCCGUCCUCCGAUCCCGGGGGACGGGCCCGAAAGGCAGCGGCGGCACCGCGUCCGGUCCUCGAGCGUAUGGGGCUUUGUCACCCGCUCUGUAGGCCCGGCCGGCGCUUGCCGAUCAACCCAAAUUUUUAUCCAGGUUGACCUCGGAUCAGGUAGGGAUACCCGCUGAACUUAAGCAUAUCAAUAAGCGGAGGA
rnacentral:misc_RNA from 1 species